UACCAGCACCCCGAGUGGUCGGGACGAUUAUUGGGCCUAAAGCAUCCGUAGCCGGUUUUACAAGUCCUCCGUUAAAUCCAGCUGCUUAACAGAUGGGCUGCGGAGGAUACUAUAAGACUAGGAGGCAGGAGAGGCAAGCGGUACUCAGUGGGUAGGGGUAAAAUCCGUUGAUCCAUUGAAGACCACCAGUGGCGAAGGCGGCUUGCCAGAAUGCGCUCGACGGUGAGGGAUGAAAGCUGGGGGGAGCAA
rnacentral:rRNA from 1 species